UUUUAAAAUUGACAAAAUAACUUAAGAAUAGAGAAAAAUGGCAUUAAAAAAUAAAGGAUACUUAGUGAAAACCCCCUUUUCCCCCUCCAAAAACCUUCUUAUCUUUGGACCAUGCCUCAAAAGACCUAAACCUAUAUGUCCUAAAGUUAGAAGGAUAAAUACAGAUUUUGAUUAAGUCUAUCAGUAUUAAUGAGAAAAUGGAUAAAAGUUGAGUUAUCUUUCUUUGUGUUCGGAGGUGCUCUUACCGGCGGAGGUUUAUUCACAGUAGAAGAAUACAAAAUGGCGUCGAUUUUAAAUCAACA
rnacentral:lncRNA from 1 species